ensembl:rRNA 5S_rRNA 5S ribosomal RNA
GCUUACGGCCACACCCGCCUGGUUCACGCCCUUUGAUCUCGUUUGAUCUCGGAAGCUAAGAUAGGUUGGGCCUGGUUAGUACUUGGAUGGGAGACCGCCUGGGAUUGCCAGGUGCUGUAAGCU